GGUUACAGCUGGACACAGUUUAUCGAAACAAAUAUGGAACCAGUUUUAAUCGCACAGAGGUUCUAGGUUUCAGUCAAGGUUCGGUUGUGGUAGAUGCUAAGCUGAUAUUUAACAAUGCCAGCUCAGUCCCUGAGUCCAGUGCAGUGGUUGCAACCUUAGAACAUAGAGAACAUCUCAAGCAACAGCUCUUAUAUCUCUCUCCCACUGAACACAACUUCUAUCGUGGCAACAAGAGUCAUUUCAACCUCAGCUACAACUACUACUUCUACUCCAGAUCCUCCAAUAUCAACACCAUAUACGGUCAUGAACGCAACUUCAGCCCCCUCAAACAGGUCAACUACAAAUAUGGUUGUCAAUGCAACAUCGGAUCCUGUGAACAUGUCAACAAUACACAUAGUGCCCAAUGGAACAUCAGCGCCCAUAAAUGUGUUAACAUCAGCCCAAAGUGCUGUCAAUGUCACAUCAGGACCUGUAACACAAAGCAAUACAACUUCAACACUAUCAACUACAACCCCAUCUUUGUCAACUACCCCAAUAGUCAACACAACAGCUCCUUCAACUACACCCAUAGUCAACACAACAGCAACUCCAAAUACCACAGUAGUCAACACAACAG